rnacentral:rRNA from 1 species
GAAUAUUGCGCAAUGGGCGAAAGCCUGACGCAGCCAACCCGCGUGGGUGAUGAAGGCCUUCGGGUUGUAAAGCCCUGUCGUGAGGGAAGAAUUCUGACGGUACCUCACAAGAAAGCGCCGGCUAACCCCGUGCCAGCAGCCGCGGUAAUACGGGGGGCGCAAGCGUUGCUCGGAAUCACUGGGCGUAAAGCGUCCGCAGGCGGCCUGAUAAGUCGGGUGUGAAAGCCCGGAGCUCAACUCCGGAACUGCAUUCGAAACUGUCUGGCUCGAGUACGGGAGAGGAUGGCGGAAUUCCUGGUGUAGAGGUGAAAUUCGUAGAUAUCAGGAGGAACACCGGUGGCGAAAGCGGCCAUCUGGCCCGAUACUGACGCUCAUGGACGAAAGCGUGGGGAGCAAACAG